ACACACCCUUUAAUUAUUCCUGUGGAUGUAAUGCGCAUGCGCGCUCAUUCCCCCAUGUGUGAGAAAAUAAUAUCCAAGAUCCAGAUCCAGAUCCUCCUGGCAGAAUCAUCUUUGUCUUGAGGGCCUGGUCUUUUCUUCUUAGAUACACUGAACUACAGAUCCUGGAAUAAUCAAUUUUCUUCUUUCUUGAGGUCCUGGUAAGCCACAUAAUACAAUAAAUAACAACAAUAGAUGCAUGUAAAUAAGUCUUUUCUUCUCAGUGACUUUAUAUAGAUAAAAUAUAAAAUAUAAAAUUAACUAAUUAUAACACUCUAAUACUUUUGAGCGAAAGCAAAAACAUGGCGAGAGGCAUUAGCACAGCGCCAGCUUGAACACUAGUUUAAUAUGCAUUUCGCAUUACAUCAUUUGUUUGCAAGCAACAAAAUGUUAGAAUUUUAUCAGUGUUGUUUGAGCUAUUAUAUUUAAGAAAUGGGCUUACUAUUCAAUAUCUCUUAGCGCUAGUAUUGUGAACUAACCUUCAAGGAACAGGAUGGUACCAAGUUCACCUAUUAUUGCCAAAAUCUGUUUCUGAUUCUGAGCUACUCGGCUGCUCCAUGCAAGGUGCGGGUGCUACUUAACUGUAGAGGUAAGUUUGCCAGGUGCA